GCUUUAAAAGCUUACGAAAAGCGGCUAGUCUUGUAAACUAGGAGAGAAGGUUUAACUCCUUCUUAAAGCU
rnacentral:tRNA from 1 species